rnacentral:misc_RNA from 1 species
GAUGAAGAACGCAGCGAAAUGCGAUAAGUAAUGUGAAUUGCAGAAUUCAGUGAAUCAUCGAAUCUUUGAACGCACAUUGCGCCCGUCGGCAUUCCGACGGGCAUGCCUGUUCGAGCGUCAUUUCUCCCCAUCGGGGCCGACCUUCGCGCACCGACGUUGGGUCCUCGUCCCGCCGGCCUCGGCCGGGGGGACGGUCCCCGAAGCCUCGCGGCGGCAGCCCCCCCACCGGCGAUCCCACACGAAGGCGCCGAGUCGAGGGGAAGGCGGUGCCGUCCGCUCGACCGAAACCCACCGACGGAGGGGGCCGCCCGGCCCCCGCCGCUCGUGCGAUUGACCUCGGAUCAGGUAGGGAUACCCGCUGAACUUAAGCAUAUCAAUAAGCGGAGGA